rnacentral:rRNA from 1 species
UACGGAGGGAGCUAGCGUUGUUCGGAAUUACUGGGCGUAAAGCGCGCGUAGGCGGUCAUUCAAGUCAGAGGUGAAAGCCCGGGGCUCAACCCCGGAACUGCCUUUGAAACUAGAUGACUAGAAUCUUGGAGAGGUCAGUGGAAUUCCGAGUGUAGAGGUGAAAUUCGUAGAUAUUCGGAAGAACACCAGUGGCGAAGGCGACUGACUGGACAAGUAUUGACGCUGAGGUGCGAAGGCGUGGGGAGCAAACAGG